GAUGGCUGUUCCAACACCUUCUCCAUCAUGCAGUGAUAGGCUGAACUAAAAGGCAGACAAAACACAUCAGAAAAGGUCUGAAGGACACCGGAUUGUUGACUAUGCUUCAACAAAGACCUGACACAGCCUCAGUGGUCUUUCCCCAGCAUGAAGACAGCAUUCUUACUGCACAGGCUGUUCUUAGCCACAUUGUUUGGCCAGGAGAUGAGG